rnacentral:rRNA from 1 species
UACGUGGGGUGCGAGCGUUGUUCGGAAUUACUGGGCGUAAAGCGUGUGAAGGCGGUCUGCUAAGUCUGGUGUGAAAGCCCUGAGCUUAACUCAGGAACUGCGCCGGAAACUAGUAGACUAGAGUUCGGGAGAGGGUCGUGGAAUUCCAGGUGUAGCGGUGAAAUGCGUAGAUAUCUGGAGGAACACCGGUGGCGAAGGCGACAUCCUGGACCGGUAUUGACGCUGAGGCGCGAAAGCCAGGGGAGCAAACGGG